UGAGCUUCCAAAUCAGACUGCUGUUAAACUGGCUCACUCCAUAUACUCUGUGCCACAGCGAUUUAAUAUUUCAUUAAAAAGCCUUAAUGAUGGCUCCAGUGAAUUUCUCCUAUUCAAGCUCCAUAAUGACAGCAAUUCAAGUGAGUGUUGAUCUCUGAGUGAUGCAACACAAAAACAUCGCCUAACAAAGGAACACUUGGAGUGCUACUCAUAUUCUCUGCAACUUGAGGAGAAAAAGAAGUGUUCUAUAAGAAAUCUGGACAAGACUCUGCAGGAAGUUAAGAGGUCCUUAAAGGCAACUGUGAGUUAACGGAGACUGGUAUUGAGAAAAUCAGUCCUGAUUUGUUUCUCCUGGAGUUUUCUUCUUUAUGUGAUCCAUCAUAAAAGCUGCUAAUAUGGGAAAGAUUGAAAUCAGCAAGUUUCUGGCUGUAAGCUAAAAGAGGCUCUUGAAUCAUAUUUCCGCCUACUUAGCAAAUUUCUCUUGCGACAAUUGGAUGUUAUUUGGGGUUCCAUACUAGCAGGAAGAAGUACAAGCAAAGCUAAGUCAUUUUGAGAAUAAAUAUUAUCUCUGUAUAUAUUUGUAAAUGUUAUUUUCUUUCUUUUUUGAGGUUUAUGAUUGAUCCUUGGCAUGUGUCCACUUGUGUAUUGCUCUACUGAAAACAGCCUAAAAAAGAUUUUUCCCCUCAAUGUGGAGCU
rnacentral:lncRNA from 1 species